rnacentral:lncRNA from 1 species
GUAAUUUAUUGGCUGAUUUCUAUGUGCCCACCAGUAUACUCACCAUGCAUCAGUCCUGACUUCCAAGGCACAGCUGUAAAUGUGUGUCUUCUUGGCUUACACUGGUUUUGGAGACCAAGGUGGAAGAAACACUGCAAUGUUUGUGACAGUCCUAAACAAGAAAAGAUUGUCUUACCAAAAUACUAAGGACUCCUCGCUGAAAAAUAUCAGCAAGAAAACAACGCAAUUCACCCCGAG